rnacentral:rRNA from 1 species
GUAGUCAUAUGCUUGUCUCAAAGAUUAAGCCAUGCAUGUCUAAGUAUAAGCAAUCUAUACAGUGAAACUGCGAAUGGCUCAUUAAAUCAGCUAUCGUUUAUUUGAUAGUACCUUACUACUUGGAUAACCGUGGUAAUUCUAGAGCUAAUACAUGCUAAAAACCCCGACUUCGGAAGGGGUGUAUUUAUUAGAUAAAAAACCAAUGCUCUUCGGGGCUCCUUGGUGAUUCAUAAUAACUUAACGAAUCGCAUGGCCUUGUGCCGGCGAUGGUUCAUUCAAAUUUCUGCCCUAUCAACUUUCGAUGGUAGGAUAGUGGCCUACCAUGGUUUCAACGGGUAACGGGGAAU